AUGAACGCUAGGACGACGAGGCCUAACACAUGACAAGUCGGAGGGGCAACGGGGCGUAGCAAUACGCUGCCGGCGACCGGCGGAUGGGUGAGUAACGCGUAUGCAACCUGCCUUCAGCAGGGGGAUAGCCCGUUGAAAGACGGAUUAAUACCCCAUAACACAGGGGCUCCGCAUGGAGAUUAUUGUUAAAGGGAUGCUUCCUUCGGGGGUAUUCCGGCUGAAGAUGGGGCAUGCGUUCCAUUAGGUAGUUGGUUGAGGUAACGGCUCACCAAGCCUACGAUGGAUAGGGGAACUGAGAGGUUGGUCCCCCACACUGGUACUGAGACACGGACCAGACUCCUACGGGAGGCAGCAGUGAGGAAUCUUGGUCAAUGGACGGAAGUCUGAACCAGCCAUGUCGCGUGAAGGAGGACGGCCCUAAGGGUUGUAAACUUCUUUUGCAGCGGAAUAAAGUAUUCCACGUGAUGGGAUAUUGCAAGUACGCUGCGAAUAAGGAUCGGCUAACUCCGUG
rnacentral:rRNA from 1 species